CACGUAGUUAGCCGGUACUUCUUCUGCAGGUACCGUCACCCAAAGGCUUCUUCCCUACUGAAAGAGGUUUACAACCCGAAGGCCGUCAUCCCCCACGCGGCGUCGCUGCAUCAGGGUUCCCCCCAUUGUGCAAUAUUCCCCACUGCUGCCUCCCGUAGGAGUCUGGGCCGUGUCUCAGUCCCAGUGUGGCCGGUCGCCCUCUCAGGCCGGCUACCCGUCGUCGUCUUGGUAGGCCAUUACCCCACCAACAAACUGAUAGGCCGCGAGCCCAUCCCCAACCGAAAACUUUCCACCACCCAACAUGCGAAAGAUGGUCAUAUCCGGUAUUAGACCCAGUUUCCCAGGCUUAUCCCGAAGUCAGGGGCAGGUUACUCACGUGAUACUCACCCGUUCGCCACUCAUCCACCCAGUGCAAGCACCAAGCUUCAGCGUUCGACUUGCAUGUGUUAAGCACGCCGCCAGCGUCGUCCUCGUGCCACGGACGUCAACUAC
rnacentral:rRNA from 1 species